rnacentral:rRNA from 1 species
GAAGAGUUAUCUUUUCUUUUUAACAGCUUGCCCACCCUGGAAUCGGUUCACCCGGAGAUAGGGUCCAGCAGUUGGAAGAGCACCGCACGUCUUGCGGUGUCCGGUGCGCCCUCGGCGGCCCUUGAAAAUCUGGAGGACCGAGUACCGUUCAUGCCCGGUCGUACUCAUAACCGCAUCAGGUCUCCAAGGUGAACAGCCUCUGGUCAAUAGAACAAUGUAGGUAAGGGAAGUCGGCAAAAUGGAUCCGUAACUUCGGGAAAAGGAUUGGCUCUGAGGGCUGGGCCUAGGGGUCUGCGCCCCGAACUCGUGGGCUGUUGGCGGCCUGCCCGAGCUGCUCCCGCGGCGAGGGCGGGCCGUCGCGUGCCGAUCGGGCGACGGACGCAGGACGCCCCCUUCGGAGGGCUUUCCCUAGGCGGCGAACAGUCGACUCAGAACUGGUACGGACAAGGGGAAUCCGACUGUUUAAUUAAAACAAAG